rnacentral:rRNA from 1 species
GACGAACGCUGGCGGCGUGCUUAACACAUGCAAGUCGAACGGAAAGGCUCCAGCUUGCUGGAGUACUCGAGUGGCGAACGGGUGAGUAACACGUGGGUAAUCUGCCCUGCACUCUGGGAUAAGCCUGGGAAACUGGGUCUAAUACUGGAUAUGACCUUUCUCCUUAUGGGGUUUGGUGGAAAGUUUUUCGGUGUAGGAUGAGCCCGCGGCCUAUCAGCUUGUUGGUGGGGUGAUGGCCUACCAAGGCGACGACGGGUAGCCGGCCUGAGAGGGUGAUCGGCCACAUGGGGACUGAGAUACGGCCCAGACUCCUACGGGAGGCAGCAGUGGGGAAUAUUGCACAAUGGGCGGAAGCCUGAUGCAGCGACGCCGCGUGAGGGAUGACGGCCUUCGGGUUGUAAACCUCUUUCAGCAGGGACGAAGCGUAAGUGACGGUACCUGCAGAAGAAGCACCGGCUAACUAUGU